GAUGAAGAACGUAGUGAAAUGCGAUAAGUAAUGUGAAUUGCAGAAUUCAGUGAAUCAUCGAAUCUUUGAACGCACAUUGCGCCCGCCAGUAUUCUGGCGGGCAUGCCUGUUCGAGCGUCAUUUCAACCAUCAAGCCCCCGGGCUUGUGUUGGGGACCUGCGGCUGCCGCAGGCCCUGAAAAGCAGUGGCGGGCUCGCUGUCACACCGAGCGUAGUAGAUUUUAUCUCGCUCAGGGCGUGCUGCGGGUUCCGGCCGUUAAACCACCUUCAUAACCCAAGGUUGACCUCGGAUCAGGUAGGAAGACCCGCUGAACUUAAGCAUAUCAAUAAGCGGGGA
rnacentral:misc_RNA from 1 species